UACGAAGGGGGCUAGCGUUGCUCGGAAUCACUGGGCGUAAAGCGCACGUAGGCGGAUUGCUAAGUCAGGGGUGAAAUCCUGGAGCUCAACUCCAGAACUGCCUUUGAUACUGGCAACCUUGAGUCCGGGAGAGGUGAGUGGAACUGCGAGUGUAGAGGUGAAAUUCGUAGAUAUUCGCAAGAACACCAGUGGCGAAGGCGGCUCACUGGCCCGGUACUGACGCUGAGGUGCGAAAGCGUGGGAGCAACAGG
rnacentral:rRNA from 1 species